rnacentral:rRNA from 1 species
UACGAAGGACCCGAGCGUUAUCCGGAUUUAUUGGGCUUAAAGGGUGCGUAGGCGGGUCUAUAAGUCAGUGGUGAAAGCCCUUCGCUUAACGAAGGAAUUGCCAUUGAUACUGUAGGUCUUGAGUAUAGUUGAGGUGGGCGGAAUGUGUCAUGUAGCGGUGAAAUGCUUAGAUAUGACACAGAACACCGAUUGCGAAGGCAGCUCGCUAAACUAUAACUGACGCUGAGGCACGAAAGCGUGGGUAGCAAACAGG